GGAUGUGAGGGUAAUCUGGCUGCAACAUCUGUCACUCCAUUGAUCACGAUUGCUAGGGUGGAUUCAGUUGAUCUGGCUGGCUAGGCAGGUAUCCCCUUCCUCCCUCACCACUCCUUAUAAACUGCUCUCUUGGUCAACCUUUCCUGUAUUGAGGACUGUUCUUUGGCCAAGAGCAUGCCAGUAGCUGAGUUCCCCUGCUAAAAACUUCCAACCAGGGUGCUGGAGAGAUGGCACAGCAGUUCAGGUACUUGCUUCCAAAGCCUAAUGACCAGU
rnacentral:snRNA from 1 species